CUGGGGUAUAUGGAAGUUCCCAGGCUAGGGGUCGAAUCAGAGCUAUGGCUGUUGGCUUACACCACAAGCCAUAGCAAUGCCAGUUCCGAGCCACAUCUGUGACAUACACCAUAGCUCAUGGCAACACCACAUCCUUAACCCACAGAGCAAGGCCAGGAAUACCUGUAAUCUCAUGGAUACUAGUCGAGUUCAUAACCUUCUAAGCCACAAUGGGAAUUCCCUGGCAAUAUUAUCUUAAUAUUUGUAAAGACACAAUGAACUUCUUUGCAGAACAGACACUGACUCACAGACUUUGAAAACCUUAGGGUUUCCAAAGGAAAUGGGUUGAGAGGUGGGGGGAUGCACUAGGGGUUUGGGAUGGAAAUGCUAUAAAAUUUUGUUGUGAUGAUCAUUGUACAACUAUCAGUGUAAUAAAAUUCAUUGAGUAAUAAAAUAUUUCUUUUUUUAUUGAAAUUUUGUUUUCCUCUGGGCCAUUUCUUUAGGGAUGGCUGCAGAAAUCAAAGAAGAAAUAUCUGACCAAACAAAUACGGUUCAGUAGAAACUCUCCAUAUAAGAUGUUUUGGGGAAAUUUUACUUAUAUUUGUUAAUCAAGGGACCAGUGUGAUCGAUUAUUGAAUGAUUAGCUCUACAUGGCUCAGUUUGCUUCUCCAGAUAUUUCUUUUUAAAUGGCUUGAGAGGUAGUUAGGAGGAGGUAGAAGGGAAAAGUGCUGACUAGGAGACAGACGUGAAUAGUUUCAACUUUGUCACUACCUACCUGUCCAAGUUACUAACCUAUUUGGGCUUCAGUUUCUUCAACUACAAAGUUGAAUCUAAUAAACACUGUUAUUCUAUAUGGAGCCAAGUCCAUUCAGAAAGUCAAAUAGCAUACCAAAGUCUUUUUCUAAAUAUUGUGUUACUGCUAUUCAUUGCAUUUGUGUGUAUGUGUAUGUGUGUGCUGGUGGAGUGCUGGGUGGAAGGAAGGCUUCCUACUUCUCCACAUAUCAGUAAUUGAAAAACAGGCUGGAAAAAAAACACUGUGUUCUCCUAUGUUUGGGCAAACAGGAAUCAGGCCACCCUGACCUCAUGGUCACACAGAGAUUGCCAGGAAGCCUGCAGAGUUCAUCCAAUGUUGCCCAGAUAGCACAUUAGGCUGAGAGGAAGCUGUAAGGAGCAGUGGAGAGAGUUAAUGCAGGUAAAGAGGUGAGCAGGUGCUGGCAAUGCGCUGUGCUCACUAUUCGCUGUAUUAACACCUGCCUGAUCGUCAUUUGUAACUCUUACAGAAAUAGCCCAUAGAGUUAUCUAGGAGGGGGGAAAACCCUUAAUUCACUCCAACCUCACUCUAGGUGCAUUAAUACUUUUUAAAAAGAAACUAUAAGAGUUCCCCUCAUGGUGCAAGGGAAACGAAUCUGACUAGAAAACAUGAGGUUACGGGUUUGAUCCCCAGCCUCACUCAGUGGGUUAAGGAUCCAGUGUUACCAUGAGCUGUGGAAUAGGUUGAAGAUGUGGCUUGGAUCUGGUGUUGCUGUGGCUCUGGCAUAGGCUGGCAGCUGUAGCUUUGAUUCGACCCCUAGCCUGGGAACCUCCAUCUGCCAUGGGUGUGGCCCUAAAAAGCAAAAAACAAAAAAACUAUAAUAUUUCUACUACUGUUGUUAAGAUUAUUAUUUCUUUUUGAUCCAAAUUCCUACAGUUGUGUAUUUCUCUUUUUGGGGUAUUUCUCUGGCAUCACUGUUGAAGCUAAGACCUCAGGUUAGAAGAUCAGGUCCUACAAAGUGCUGCUAUGAGAGCUAAGAGAAAAUGAGUCCUUCCUCCCUUACUCUGGGUGGUGGCCUGCGAUGGUUCCAGGUCUGCAGUGCUCUGUAGCCUUCCCAGCAGCCUCAGGCCUACCCACUCUGCACAUGUCUGCUAAUGCUCCUCCAGUCACAUUUUCAUUUCUUCCUAAAACCUCUCUGUCCCUACCAACAGGUCUAAUGCUACACUCUGCUGCUUCUUCACACACCCCUUCCUUAGCUCUGUGGAAAAUGAUCUCCUGUGAGCUUUCAGGUGCCCAUCCAUGGUUCUCUGCCUAGAAGCGUCUUGCCUCUGCUUAUUGGUCUAGUAAACACUUAAACCUGCCAUCCUUCAAGACUAAGCUAAAAUGUUUCUUCCACGUACUGUAUUGCUUCCUCCUCCGAGCUGCCUUGGCAUCCAAGACACUUAACAUAUACAUGGCCACUGCACUAUAUAAAGACACUUAACAUAUACAUGAGUUUCCUGGAACCAUGCAUUUUAUUUUGUUUUUUGUAUUUCCAUCACAGAAUCUGGCAAACAGGCGCUCAGUAAGUGCUCAGUCCAUAUUUAGACCUGUGUUCUAAUCAUCUCAUCUACAUUCCUGUUAAGAACAGGGUGAGGGAAAGGGCUUACCUGAAAAUAAAAUUGUGUAAACUGCUAUGGGGAAAUUUAUAUUAAACCAUGUUCAUACUUCAAUUUGCUUUAUGGAAAGUCAUCUUUAAACAAAGAAAAAUGAGACCAGAUGACCUAGGGUCCCUUUCAGUUUCAAAGAUCUUAUCUACAGGAAAGUUUCUCCACACUCAACCCCCAACGUACUUCCCCAUGAAUUCCUCUUAUACAACUUAUUUAGGUUAGUUACUCUUUUCAAAACUUCAUUACUUGCUAGGAAACCUAAACCGUACUUAUCCUUUUGCAAACUACUCUAAAUAGAAAUUCUGCUGUGGAGAGCCAUGUGCUUGGGACAGUGAGCUACUUUGUUUUUCGUUUGUUUGUUUAUUGAAGUAUAAUCAACUUACAAUGUUAUAUCAGUUUCAGGUGUUCAACAUGGUGAUUUGAUAUUUUUGUACAGUACAAAAUAAUCACUGCAUAGAGAAGCAGUGAAUGGAGGGCUCUUUUCAGGCACAGAGUUCACAGCUCUAAUGCUAAUUAGCACUCCAGAGCUGCAAUCCACUUUUGGCCCAAAUUCUUGGCCAGUGGAAAGCCAAUCUCCACAAUAUAAAGAGCCUAGGCAUCCUUGCCAGACAAAGCUAGUUUCAAAUCCUGGCUCUGUCACAUACUGGCUCUAUGACUCUGGGCAAGUUACCCAACUUAGCAGAGCCUCUAUUUUCUCACGCAUGAAAUGGUGAUAAUAACACUAAAUACUUCACAGGUUGUUGAGAGGAUUAAACAAGAUGAUGGGGCUAAGGUCCUGCCAUAGAGCAAGUACACAUAAGUAUACUACUGUGUGAGUAACUAUUGUAGUUGUGCAUGACUCUGGGGCUCCCUAGACUUGCCAGGAGCAGGUUUGGGUUGGUUGGUUAUUGGGUCUUGCUCUGAACUGGAGAUGGGUUGGGGUGGGGGGUGGUUAAGUGACAGGACAGGAAGCUUCGUGGAUACCUGGUCAGGUAUGGCAUACUGUGGGGCUCUGAGGUUUGAUCUGCUGAGAAAAAUGCUAUUCCAGGAGCUCCAGAAUAAUCAUCAACCCACAGCCUAUUAAAGACCCUAAAUUCUGGGGGCUAGUCCCUCUUGCAGCUGACAAUCUUUCCAUUCCUAGCUCACUAAACUAGGAAAGGCCACUGCACUAUAUAAAGCUGUGAAAUAACCAGAAACUUUUAAUUCAGAUGCGAAAUAAAAUGCCAGAAUCACUUUUGCCUCUGCAAAUAAUCUGUCUUACCUUUGGAAGUGAGGGCAUGAAGAUUAUAUCUUAAAGUGGGGUGUUCAGAGUAGCUACACCUGAGAGCCAUCUCAUACAGGUUGAAUCAAGAUCUCAGAGAUGGGGAUGAAGAGCCCACAUUAAAUCUAGUUCCCCAGGUAGUCCUGCUGCAUCCUGAACCCUUGCUUCUGCAGUGCAGUCCCAUCAGCAACACUAGGGAACUUAUAAGAAAUGCAGACGCUCAGGCCCUGCCCCAGACCUACUGAAUCUUCACUUUUAAACAAUUGUGCUAAAAUAUGCAUAACACAGAAUUUACCAUCUUGACUGUUUUUAAAUGUAGGGUUCAGUAGUGUUAAGUAUAUUCACAUUAUGCAACCAAUCUCCAGAACUCUUUUCAUCUUGCAAAACUGCAGCUCUGUACCCAUUAAAACUCCCCAUUUCCUCCUCCCCCAACUCCCCAGCCACUGGCAGCCACUCAAAACUGCAUUUCAACAAGCUCCCCAGCUGAUUCAUAUGCCCAUUAAGGGUUGAGAAGCAUUGCUCUAAGUAGGAGGAUCAUAGAUCACAAAAUCAGGAGUUACUGUGAGGCACCCAGGUCAUGACCUUGGCAAUGCAAUAGAAACCAGCCAGCAGGGCAAUGACUAGUCUCUCCAGACAAUUCUGAUGCAUGCUCAAGUUGGAGAACCACUGCUCUAGACCAGUGAUUUGCACUCCAGCCUACAUACUAGAAUCAUCUGGGAACUUUAUGAUUCACACCUGAGACUCCUCCCAAAUCAACUAAUUCUAGUCUCUAAAGGCAGGGCCCAGGUAGCUGAAAGCUCUCCCAGCAAUUCUGAUAACUUAGCCAAGUUUCAGAACCACUGAUCUGUAGGGAUGAAGGAGGUUAGUAGGAUUCUGCAUUGAGUGUAGGAUUUAGAGGGGCAUGAUGGCUCCAGGAAAGGCAUUAUAACCAAUGCUCCAUUUUAUAUUGGCUCAGUUUCCCCAAUAAGAAUGAUUGCUCUGAGAAGUUUAAAAAAAAAAAAAAAAAAAAAAAAAGCUGUCUUUGUGAAAAGAAAUAGCUGUUUCCUUAGAAGACCUAACACCCUCCCAUUCCCUGUCAUUAUUUCCUAUUGGGUGCUCUGUUUAUUUUUUAAUAGAUUCACCACAAUUAACAAUUACUGAGUUUGUCUGCCUCCUUUCACUAAACUAACACCGGUGUCUGUGUAAGAGCCAGGUUCAGAGAUCUGGCUCAGCCCUCCCUCCUACAGAGCUCUUGAUAAAUAUUCAAAUGAAUCAGACACAGGUACCCAUCAACCCUGCUUUGUCACCAAAUUUGUGGCUUCUGAUAGUGAAAGAGACUGCUAAACUGUCAGGACAUCACAUGGGGGGAGGAGGGGAACUGGGGUCUGCAUGGAGCAGUCAAGGUCAGUGAGGGCAAGUUCUUCCAGGGAGAAGAGGCUGGCGCAAGUAGCAGUGCAGACUGAUUCAUUGGGUGAAAAUUAGAAUUCUAAAGUGAAUAGGGAUUUUGAGUUUGUGAGUUAGUCAUACAAGUGUGACUUCAGAAUCCCCCAGCUGGUGAGGCUUGGACGACAGUGCAUUUAUAUAACCACCACCACCCCACCCUCCAUCCUGACUGUCAUCCCAGGUAGAAUUCUGUAAUUCUACCUGCUCUGGGAAGAGCAGAGAUUUUGGAAUAGAACUGCACUCAAAUUCUGCUCCCUCUUUUGGGCUCGCUGUUCCACCACGAGAAAUUACAUAUGUGAGCCUCAGAUUCCUCAACAAUAACAAUAAUUAAAAAUAAUUAUUGAUAAUAACAAUAAUUAUCCCAUAGAUUACAUAAAGCACCUGGUAAAGUGUCU
rnacentral:lncRNA from 1 species